rnacentral:snRNA from 1 species
GCUUCAGCAGCAAUAUGCUCACAGUGGAAUUAUAUUGAUACAAAGAAGAUAAGCAUGGCUGCUCUAGAUGACAUGCACAUUUGUGAAAACAUUCCAUAUUUU